UGUUGCAGAAUUUAUUAACCGAGUUAACGCUUUGUCUGAAGACCAAGAUGUUGGACAACAAUUCAAAUUGACGAAACUGCAAUAUAGAUGUAAACCAGAACUUGUUAGACUAAUGUCCCUAGGUAAAUGGCCGGAGACAGUUGUAGAGCCAGAAGUGCGCUUGCAGUCAGUUGAACAAACUUUCAAUAUUUAGAAAAAUGCG
rnacentral:lncRNA from 1 species